rnacentral:lncRNA from 1 species
CCAAGAUGGGUGACCCCCUGGGAAGUCCUCAUGCCGAGUGGCCCAAAGCAGACAAAAUACUAUGAUACGUGCCAGAGGGGGAUGUUACAAAUUGUGAUAAGGUCUCUUAAUCAUUACGAUGAUCAUAUAUCAUGAUACUAAAGUACUCUCCCAUCUUUUCAGAUUUGAGAAACUUUUAUCCUUCUGCCUAAUUUGAUUCUUCUUAUUCGCUCUGUCAUACAUUGGAUCUUUUCCAAUGUUUCAGGACUAUACUUAAGCUUGUAAGUAUAACCAUAUUUACUAAACCUUAGUAAAUUAUGACGAAUAGUCUUAUCGAUCUUUUGUGGUGGACUUUGACCAGUGCACAAGAAUGUGUACCUGAUCCCUUAGUCCUUUACUUGACUCACACAUCCAUUUGAAGAAGUAAUUAGUCUUAAUUUUCCAAGAGUAAAUUACACGAAUGGUCCCUAUGGUUUGGGGUAAUUUGCGCGUUUAGUCCCUAACUUAAUUUUUUAACUCGGAAGGUCCCUAUUAUUUGCUUUUGUUACGUGUUUGGUCCAUAUUAUUUGUUUUUGUUACACGCUUGGUGUUUGUCUUACCUGAAAAGACUAUUAUUUAAAUUGGGAAAAACAGUGGGGUAGGUAAGAUAACGUGAGAGGGUGGGGUUAGGGGUGUGUUUAUUUAAAUAAAUUAAUAAAACCAAAGGAAAAAUAGUCUUUUUAGGUAAGACCGGGACCAAACGCGUAACAAAAACAAACAAUAGGGACCUUCCGAGUUAAAAAAAUAAGCUAGGGACCAAACGUGUAAAUUACCCUAAACCAUAAGGACCAUUCGUGUAAUUUACUCAUUUUCCAAUGCUUGAAAGUUCUCAUUCAUCAUACUAUACAACUUACAUGAUUCCAAGUUUCGAUCCAAUUUAAACUUGAGUGAUGAGAAACUUUCCUUAUUUGGUAAAUUUAGACACUACCACAAAUGAAAGAAUCAAAACCAAUUUCAUAUAUUACUAGCAAUGGAAUCAUAUAAGUAACAAUUUUCCACAAAUGCCAUUGCAAGGAUACUUAAAAUAAAUAAAAUCAAAAAUUUCAUUUUAUUUAAAAAAAUUUGCGGAAAAACUCAUCCUUACAAUCCAUAUGAAAACCUUGUUGUUAUCUAUUCCUAAGCAAUGUGUCAUAACUCCUAAGUAACAACUUAAAAUUCUGAUGCGAUCGAAAUCCAUCUUCGCGAUCAGAAUCGGCAUAUACUUCCUUUAAGCUUUUUCUCUUUUCUUUGAUUCUUAUAAAAUCUCCAAAUAGGAGCUUAACAGAGUUAGACAAUGGACUUUACCUGAAGUAGAGUCAAACUUAUUGACUUUAACAUCCUUAGGUAAAUUUGGCAGUUUCGCAAUCAAUGCCCCUUCCUUUGGCAAUUUAACAUAUGGACCCUUUGGUAAUGGUACAUGGGACUAUCACAGACUUAGCUUUUCUCUUUACCAUUUGAGAUGAGGUAUAACUUCCUCUCCCUUAAUUAUAGCAAAACAACUCUUUCCCAAUUGAAACUUUUGUUUUUCUAUAAUUAACAUUGCUAACUUGCAACCUUUAUCAUAAUUAUCAUGCUCCCACUAACAAGAUGAUUAUUAGCAUAACACUUAUGCUCCCACUAGCUUUGACAUGUAGUCAGAAAUCAGCUGGACUUCUAGAAAUCAAUACUUCAUUGACUUUCUUACCAAAGUUCAUAUUUCUGAUACUAGAUUGUUUUGAUAAGACUUUAUCAAAAUCAUACACCUUCCCUUAGAUAGCACACUUGUGUGUCUAACCAAUUAUGAAGAGGGAUUCCGUAAUCAUAAUGGUUAGACCUUUUUUCCACUUCUCACAAGUCCAGGUUAGUGUGUCGGUAAACCACACACGCUCCACUAACGACUUUGAGAAUGCAAAUAUCACAAUUGCUAUCUAGCUAAAAUCUACUUAGUGAAAGUGUUUCCUCACCAUCAUUUUCAUGAAUCGGAGAGAAACCUUAUGACACUUAGAUUUAAUGGCGUAUGUGUUCUUAUCCAUGUGAAUUGUCAAAAUCAUAGUCACAAGACAAGGAUAAUGACAAAUCCAAACUCAUAUGGAUUGAACUCAAUCUUAAUUUCUUGCCACCUGGCAGCUCAAGGGCCUGCCAUUGCUUCCAAGUUGUUGUGCAACAAAUUGAGAACUCUAAGAACUCAUAUGCAAAGCCAACUUUAACUGGAAUGGGCACAGAAUAUGUCAACACGAUAGGUUAUAAACCUCAAGUCGUGUGCUAGUGAAGAACUUCAGGUUUUAUUCUUGAUUAGUUCUUGAGACUUUCAAGACCUUUAAGACUCCCACUGUCCUCUUGACCUAUAAGACUCCCUUGUCAAAUAUCCAAGAGAUAGUGUGGAUUCUAAUCAAGACAAACACUUCACACAAUUGGCCUAAGUUGGUCUUUGUUUUAUCCAAAACAUCACAACUUACCAAUUUCAAAUGUACAAGAGUAGAAAACUUUUACUCUUACAUUUGACAAGUGUUUUAAACCUUCUUUAAGACAUGUCACUCAAGUUACAAUCUUGGAGUAUGACUCUAAGACUUGUAUUGGAACGAAGUAUGACUCAUCUUCUUGAUUUAACCAUUUCAACAAUUCAAGAUCCCUCUUCUUAGUCAUAAGAGUGCACUAAGAUUUCCAUAAAGAAUUAAUUGUGCUAUGGUUUCUUAAGAAACUUUUAUCCUUCUACCUAAUUUGAUUCUUCUUAUUCGCUCUGCCAUACAUUGGAACCUUUUCCAAUGUCUCAGAGUUACACUUAAGCUUGUAAGUAUAAUCAUAUUUACUAAGCUUUAGUAAACUAUGACGAAUAGUCUUAUCAAUCAUUUGUGGUGGACUUAAUCAGUGCACAAGAAUGUGUACUCGAUCCCUUAGUCCUUUACUUGAAUCACACAUCCAUGUGACCGAGUAAUUAGUCUUAAUUUUCCAAUACUUGAAAGUUCUCAUUCAUCAUGCUAUACAACUUGCAUGAUUCCAAGUUCCGGUCCAAUUGAAACUUGGGUGAUGAGAAUCUUUCCUUAUUUGGUAAAUUUAGACAUUACCACAAAUGAAAGAAUCAAUUUCAUAUUUCCACUCUUGCUCUUAAUGGAAUCAUAUAAGCAACAAUUUUUCCUCAAAUGCCAUUGUAAGGAUAUUUUAAAAUAAAUAAAAUCAAAAAUUUU